rnacentral:lncRNA from 1 species
GGCACAAUCACAACAAUUGUUCCGGCAAAUAAUAUACCAAUAGCUCUCAAACGUAGUGUGACCUUGAUAUUUUGAUCAUUAAAAUGUUUAAGACAUAUCAGCUUUAACACAGUUGCAAAAACAGAGGAAAACGAUAAGUAAUCUAUUCUAUUCAUGGUGAAAUCUUUAAUUACACCAAGCGAUACAAACAAUGCGCCUAGAGACAGCAGACCAGUGGUAACCAUGGUGAUAUGCUGUAUUCGAG